UGAAGGUUUGAAUUAUAAUGUCAUGUCAUCCUGGUUCUAAACAAUGUUUUUGAAAUUUUCUAUUUUCAUUAUACUGUCUCUAUAAAGGGAGAGCUUUAUCAAUGUAGAUGUGUUUGCGUCAAACAUGGGAGUUGCUCUUCGGUUUGCAAUAAAACUUUGUAAGUAAAAUUUACCAUGAAUAAACAGAUAUACGGAUGUGCAUAUAAGCAUAACCCAAACUAAUCAAUCGUUCAGAAAUCGUUACCAUUAUGAAUUAAAUUAAAGGUGAUUACAAAAUAAGGCAUAUAUAAAAUUUUACCCCGGCUAAUUACGGCUUAAUUAUCUAUUAGCAAUGUUUGUACAUUCCCGCCUCCUACUGCUUUCGUGUUAUAAGUUAUAGAAGUAUCGUCUUCUUAAAAAACAUUUUCAUCAAAAUUCUACAAAGGUCAGACUGUCGCAUUCGGAGUCAACAGAAGCCUAACAUCAAUUUUAUUUUCACAAUGAAAAUAUUUGACAAAACAGGUAAACAGCAAACAAAACCAUCCACACAAACAUCAAUAAAACAAGAAGUAAAAACAACAACUGGGAAAACAAAGGUUAAAUGUGUCACUGUUAUCAACACAUCUGGAAAACAUUUUAAAUUAAAGUAACAACAUAAUUGUUGGUACGACUGUCGAAAACAACAAAUGCUUGAUAAUAUAAGUGAUUAAUCACUUUACCAGUCGUGUCAAAUGGCAUACAGACUUUUACAUAAAUAUUCAUUACGAGCGAAACAAAAUUAUAAGUCCGUUUACUUCGCGAAGUGUACCAAGGAAAUGAAAAAAUCGUUACGCACCCAAUCCGGGCGGUCUUACCUAUAUUGUCUGAUGCGGAAACUUUAGUAACAUCAGGUGCAGAUGCCUUAAAAGUAAAAAUAUGACCGUUGUUUUUUUAGUUUUGUGUAUUAUACAGACCUUUCAUUGCAGAUAUAACAGUCAAUUCAUUCUUAAGUUACAUUAAUAUGUAAAUAUUAAAAGAAGUUUUGUUUUGUAUUUUCAAAUGGAAGUUUAAUGAUUUACAUUCAUUAUUGUUAUUAUUUGCUUUUAUAUAUUUUGUUUUUGGUCAAGUUAUUUGUAAUUCUUGGCAAGUUUAUUCUUUUUCACAGAAGCCAACUUUGUUCCAAGGACAAACACAACUGGGGUUGCCAUAACUGUUGCAUUUAGAAGAUUUCCGCGUGAAAGAACGAUUGUGGUACGGUUGUGCUUCUUUUUCUGCUUUUUAACGCAGCUUGGAGCUAAAAGGUUAAAUGAGUGACACUGGUUUGUUGCCAGAACUAUAGCCAAGACUGUGUGGUUAUAGCUAGAUAAAAUUCAAACGCAUCUUCCACACACAAAGCACUAUCUAGCUAGCUAAAAAAAGAAGCUAAAUAUCACUGAAACUUUGUAGCUACGUAGACUUGAGAGACUGGCUAAUUUUCUAGCUAUAUGACUAGUUAAAUGUCCAGAUAUGUCAAAUUGGCAAUACCAAUGUUUUAAUUUUAUUGCAGAGUAAAACAUGUAGCUAGAAUGCAUGGUUUUGCCUUGAAGAAAAUGUCAAAUUUUCGAAAGUUUAAGACGAAUUACGGAGUUUUCACUGUGCCAUAAACAGUUCUGAAAACUACAUUUCACUAACUUGGUAACGGUACCAGUUCAUUUGUGUUUCAAUGCUAGCGUGGUUAAUGCUUACCAACAUGAAUUUAGCGGUAAUCUACCGAUUAUACUGAGUUUUGCAUCAUAGAAAUGAUUAACGGAGACACCCUUGUAAAACAAUUAUGAUGAGCAAAGUAUUUCCACUGACACAAAUAUCGAUCUUCCAAACUUCGUACGAUUGCUUAAACUCCGCAACAAGCGCACCCACCGGGAUAGGUUUUAAUUAAAAAAUUAAGACAAAUUAGCAUACGAAAAAUUCAUUUUUUGAUGAAACGUAGCUAGAAUGCCACAUGCUACAUCUUUCUACGGCCAUUUUAUAAAAUAAGUGCACAGCAGUGGUCAUAGCAACUGUAUUUAUCGUUUUCUAGUACCUAAUCAGCCAUACUAUCGUUCACUCGACAAUGUCACAAUGAAUAAAGCCACAAGUAGUAACAAAGCAAACUUACGGCGUUCUCUCAUUUGAGAAUAAGCUGGCGAAAAAGGUUGAAAUAACGAGCACUGUAAGAAUAAUUAAUUAGCAUAAAACAGCUAUUUGAAAGUAUUGAUUACUAAAUAUAUAGCUUUUGCCAAGUUUUAGUCUUUUUUCGGACACCAUUUUGAAUUAUUUUGACAGAUAUAGUGCGUGUGUAAUUUCUAAUAUGAGAGAUGUGCUAACUUGAUAUCUAUAACGUUUAAGCGACCUGUAAAUAUUCAAACAUGAAGCCUUUUGGAUUUACUCCGGAUUAAAAAUCAUUCUGUUGAUAGCAAUGAUAGUUCAUUGAAGAGUAGGAACAUUAGAUGGAAUUGAAAAAUUAUUUAAGGUAGAUAACACCCUUACCCCAGCAUACCUGAUUACCAACAAACCUAAAUUAUAUUAGCUUAAAAGAAAAGUUGUGAUGGUAAGGCAUUUUGUAUCCGUUGUUACGAGUCUUAUGGGAGCAUUUCAGUAGGGAUAUACUAAAGUGUGUGUCAGGUUACAAAAUUAUUUCCAGUGCAUCAACAGAAGUGUGAAAAAUUAAAUUGAAAUUAAAUUCGACAAUAAUGCUUAUCUAAAUUCCUACGUGAAUUAAUUUAUAGUUUAUCUGAAGAUGAACAUUUUGUGGUGUUGUUUUUGCUCUGUGUAAACUAUCGAAAAAUUAUGCGGAGAUGUAGCUAGUGUAGUGACAGCGCAUUCGGCUUUUAAUUAUAUGGUUUUAGGUUCCAGUCCCCUCUCCGGUGACUUUUUAAUGAAGUGUUGGCAGCCCAUGUAGUGGUAUCUACUAGGCGCUAAUCGGCAUGUGUGGCAGACAAACGAGUCAACAUAAUGCUACACACUUCCUGGCGGUAAUGUUACAUUGUUACGGUCAGAAGGAAUAAAGAGCCAGCCGUUAGGGUAGAAUCCCCAAGGACUUUCAAACUUCCUGUUACCUACUUUCUCAAAUUGUUUCAAUUUGUUUUAUCAGUCGCAUAAACAGUCAUACAGACUAUCAUUAUUAUUAUUAUUAGAAAAUCUUUAAAGAGGAUAUACAAUUCAGUUAUUUACAAAAUGACUGCUAUGCGUCCUCUAGUUGUGGAAAACCACAAAUGUGUGACAACAUUUUAUAAAAGUAAAACAAAUUAUUUUGAUUAUAGAACAUUUAUGCAAAUUAUAAAGAACACGGAAAAUUUUUUUCUUAUUGAAUGAUUGCUGAGGACACUGGUAAAAAUUUAAUGUUAAAUUUAUUUAAUCACAUGUGACCAAGUAAGGGCUUUGUGAUGUAUAUGCUUUGAAGUUACACCUCAUAUAAAUGCGAAUAAUGCCAUUGAAUUUCCUCUCCACACGAAAAAAUAAAUUUUUCGAUUGUUUUAAAUGGUUGAAGAAAACGUAUUUGAAAGCAUAAUGACUCUAGUAUUUUGUCUUGUUCCCAGUCUGGAUACUCAUUCUUUUUUGUUCACAGAGAAAAAGUUCCCUUAAGCUGAAGAGACAAAUCUUAACUUAUGUGUGUUUUUUCCUUCCUCACAGUCUAGAUGCUCACUCUUAUUAUCUACAAAAGGAAAGUUUCCUUACGUUUAAGUGACGAAACCAUUCUUAUGCGUUUUCUUUCCAUAUCAGUUUCAAAUCCUACGUUCCGUUGAUAUGACGGAACAUUGUGGAACGAACAAUCGCUAUCGAAACUAUUUUUAAAUAUGCAUUGUAAUGUUCGAUGGACGUUCUCUUUUUAAAUUGCUUAAAAGACCUACACAUAACUUUUGAGACAAAACAUUUUUUAGAGACUCAUUUAAUUAAUUCAAUUAAAUAUUGACAUUUCUAAUCUUACGAAAGGAUCAAACUGCGUCAUUAAACUUCGCCACGCAUUUAAUUCUUCUCUGCACGGCUAUAUAAAGCAAGAGGGGAUCUGUUUGUUCAGUUAAACUUACUUAAACUAAAGUUGGAUCGAAUCAAACACUAAUAGUAAAAUAAACAUUUUUUAAGACAACAUGAAGCUCUUCAAUAAAUCAGGUUCAACCAAACAAACAAAAUCCUCAAAAACAAAACAACAAACAACAACUAAAGUGAAAUGUGUCACAAUUGUUAACUCAUCGGGAAAACAAUUCAAGCUAAAAUAAGGAAUAUGAAUAUUGUCCAUGUAACCAACUAAGUAAUUAAGAGAUUAAUGGAACGCAAAAAUAUCCAGCUAGACAUCAAAAGACAUCUGUAUAACAUUCUUAUUGAGUACCAAGAAAAAAGACUCUGGGAAAUACGUUACAGUUGAAGAUGCAGAGACGAAUAGUUGAACAACAGCAAAUAUGAUACUGAAGGGCUAAAGCGCUGAGAAUUGUAUAUAUUGUUUAUAAUAAUAAUAAAAAUUGUAAAUACAUUUUGAUAUUUGAAAAAGAAAAUUGUUAAUUCACAUUUAUUUAAGUAUUUUUGUAUGACCCCAGCUCAAAAUAUUUAAAGUAAUAUAAGUCUCUUGUAAUUUAAACUACCUAUUUUAUUUACAAGAAAACAAAUAUACGCCCUCAGAGGUCCUGAACUAUAGAAGAAUAUUAAAGGGUUCGUCAACACAAAGGAGUACUAAAAUUUUCCUUUAAACCACAAAGCUGACAUAAUUAGAGGAAAAUAUAAGAAUAAUUUAAGAACAUUUUUGAUUAAAAAAAAUUAAAAAAUUUGAAGUUCUCCUUCAAACUGUGGGUUACUAUUAAAACAUGUAUGUACUGUUACGAAACCUCAAAUUUCAAAAAUCAAACUGCAACUUUCUUAGCCAAGGCGCAUAUACGAUACACAAUCAGAAUUUAUCGUCCUGUCUCUUUUUUUCUACGUCAUUGUUAACCUUAAAAAACACCAAUCUCUUUCUAGGCGUUUUAAAAACCAAACCCUUUUCGCUCCGCUCCCCUGCAAGUUUUAUUUUUUAUUACCUUUGUUUUGCUAUGUUUUUAGCCAUCAUAUUUGUAA